CUGAGCAGGCCUAACACAUGCAAGUCGAACGGCAGCGGGGGGUAGCUUGCUACCUCGCCGGCGAGUGGCGGACGGGUGAGUAAUGCCUGGGGAGCUGCCCAAUCGAGGGGGAUACCAGUUGGAAACGACUGCUAAUACCGCAUACGCCCUGAGGGGGAAAGGUGGGGAUCUUCGGACCUACCGCGAUUGGAUGCGCCCAGGUGGGAUUAGCUAGUUGGUGAGGUAACGGCUCACCAAGGCGACGAUCUCUAGCUGGUCUGAGAGGAUGACCAGCCACACUGGAACUGAGACACGGUCCAGACUCCUACGGGAGGCAGCAGUGGGGAAUAUUGCACAAUGGGGGAAACCCUGAUGCAGCCAUGCCGCGUGUGUGAAGAAGGCCUUCGGGUUGUAAAGCACUUUCAGUCAGGAGGAAAGGUGGCUAGCUAAUACCUAGUUGCUGUGACGUUACUGACAGAAGAAGCACCGGCUAACUCCGUGCCAGCAGCCGCGGUAAUACGGAGGGUGCAAGCGUUAAUCGGAAUUACUGGGCGUAAAGCGCACGCAGGCGGCUUGUUAAGUCAGAUGUGAAAGCCCCGGGCUCAACCUGGGAACUGCAUUUGAAACUGACAAGCUAGAGUCUUGUAGAGGGGGGUAGAAUUCCAGGUGUAGCGGUGAAAUGCGUAGAGAUCUGGAGGAAUACCGGUGGCGAAGGCGGCCCCCUGGACAAAGGCUGACGCUCAGGUGCGAAAGCGUGGGGAGCAAACAGGAUUAGAUACC
rnacentral:rRNA from 1 species